rnacentral:rRNA from 1 species
GUCCACGCCGUAAACGAUGAAUACUAGGUGUCGGGGGUCGAACCUCGGUGCCGCCGUUAACACAUUAAGUAUUCCGCCUGGGGAGUACGAUCGCAAGAUUAAAACUCAAAGGAAUUGACGGGGCCCGCACAAGCAGCGGAGCAUGUGGUUUAAUUCGAAGCAACGCGAAGAACCUUACCUAGACUUGACAUCCCUUGCAUAACUCAGAGAUGAGUGAAGUCCUUCGGGACAAGGUGACAGGUGGUGCAUGGUUGUCGU